AGAGAAGAGCUAGGAGAGACCAGCGGGCGGUAGCUGCGGCGAGUGGCCUCUCCGUGCGGCACAGAGGCAAGAAGCAGCCAUCCAUCCAGAAGCAGCCUCCGUGUUCCGUUUGUCCGGAUGUCAUCGUAGGUGGCCGGCAUCUCUGGCUUUGGGGCAGCUCUGAGCUUGUUAUGACAGCGGCUGAAGGCGCUUGAAUUGCUGUUUGCGGUGCCUACUAAUUGGACUGAAGGGCUGGAGUCUGGACACUGAAAGGGACCAUUGUCGCUGUUUGCCUUCCACGGCUGCCUCCCUGGGACCCUCUGGUUGAGGGGAGUCGCAUACCCGCAGGUCGUGGCACCCAUGCUCUGUGACCAUGCAAGGGUACCCUGUGGGGACACUGCACAUCAUUGUCUUGUCUGGGCUUCUCCCCUGGGGGCGGGUGGGUGCUCCACCCUCCCGCCCACUCUCUGAGGACAUGAGGAACAUGGUAUCCAGCACCACGGACAGCUCCCAGCGGUGAGUGAGCCUGCUGACCCCUGUAGGAAAAUGGUGGUUUUGUCUAUUCCAGGCAGACAUCCUGCACUACAUUCCAGAUCUGAUGAGGCAUGGCUGCCCCAGGAUUACUGGGCUCGGACGGGAGCAGUGGUAGGAAGGAUCCUAUAUAAGUCAUGUGAGACAUAGAAUGUUCAGAUCAACUGAAGCUGAAACAAGCCUUUGGCAUCAUAUAUAACCCAGAAAGGGACAAAGCUGAUCCCAGAGGACUCAAGGCUAUGGGUGAUGUCGAAGGUGCGGAAGAAUCAAGUUGGAAAGACCAGCAGGAGACAGACAGAGUAAGGUUCCUUGAAUGCUUGGUUUAUGUGCCUGGCUGGAGGAGACACCCAUGGCCUUGCAGAGGGAGCGUUCUGGUGGGAAAGCAGACACAACCCACCCUAGGCCCGUGGUUUCCCUGCAAGAAGCCCAGUGGCUUUCUGGAGGACACUUUUCCUGGAGGAAGUGACUCAAGAGCAGCAUAAGCCAGGCUCUAUGGAAUGUUGGGUGAGCUGCUUGAGGAACUCCAAGGCCUGUCCCACAGUCUUCCAGCCUCCGACUCUCCGGCCCUCAGCGAGGAAGUCCCACUGGUUUUUUUGGUUGGUUUUUUUUUUUUUUUUUAAGGUUUUUUGGUUUUUUUUUUUUUUUCUCAUUCCUGUCUUGGGAGCUUUCCCCAACCAGGAGAGUGAAGAUGGGCGGAGCUGUCACACCAACUGUUAGCCUGCCUUGGCUGAGAGGAGAGGAGGCGAGGAGGGAGCGACCACCCAGCUUUAGUCGUUUUAAAACAGCUCCUGACCCUAGAAGAAGGGAAAUGGAGAUGAAGACCCAAUUGACUUGAGAGAGUGAUCUUUCAGCAGACUGAUCGAACACACAGGCUUCUCAGCCCACUCCCUCCAGUCAAGGUUAAGGCCUGGCAAAGGUGGAGGAAGAGAAGCUGAGGAGAAAAAGGCGAGGAGAGCCUAGGCACAGGAAGGUGACCGCUUCCCUCCCUCCCAGUGCUGAUUUCCUGUGGACCAGAUUCCAGCACAGUGGAGGGCCAGAGCUCAGGGAACAGACCCAGCAGCACAGCAAGUCUCCAAGGAAAGCUCUAGCAGUCUCCAGGGGCUGAAGGCAGGACUGGGGAAGCGGCUAGCCAGGCUGCAGAAGGCAAAUGCUCCCAGACGGCUGUCCAGCACGCAUCCGCCUUCCUAGCCAAGUUUCCUGGGCUCCUGCCACAGAUCUAAGCCUCAUCCUGACAUCCUGCCCUCUGUGCUCUGGGAUGGCCCAGGGGAGAUGCUUAGCCUUGGCUCCUUGUCUGCUGGUGGAGGGGACACACACCCUUUCUGGACCACAGACCAAAAAGAAGACCUGACGUCAUCCUGAGCACCCCCGCCAUGCAGAGUGUGUUCGCAGACUGCCAACGGGCUGGCUCCGGCCAGCAGAAGUGAACAGAGGUGGAGGUUCAGCCUGACAGCUUCUCCCCAAAGCCAUGGAGAGAAAACCUUACCACCCCCACCGCCCAGCUACUUCCAGCAAGUUGUCCAGCCUGACCCCUCUAUUUCCCCUGUUGUCUCUUAUCUGGGUCCCUGAGACCCACCCCAUCUCCAAUAAAGAACAUUGCAUACUGUG
rnacentral:lncRNA from 1 species